UUAAUUCGAGAGUUUGAUCCUGGCUCAGGACGAACGCUGGCGGCGUGCCUAAUACAUGCAAGUCGAACGAACUCUGGUAUUGAUUGGUGCUUGCAUCAUGAUUUACAUUUGAGUGAGUGGCGAACUGGUGAGUAACACGUGGGAAACCUGCCCAGAAGCGGGGGAUAACACCUGGAAACAGAUGCUAAUACCGCAUAACAACUUGGACCGCAUGGUCCGAGCUUGAAAGAUGGCUUCGGCUAUCACUUUUGGAUGGUCCCGCGGCGUAUUAGCUAGAUGGUGGGGUAACGGCUCACCAUGGCAAUGAUACGUAGCCGACCUGAGAGGGUAAUCGGCCACAUUGGGACUGAGACACGGCCCAAACUCCUACGGGAGGCAGCAGUAGGGAAUCUUCCACAAUGGACGAAAGUCUGAUGGAGCAACGCCGCGUGAGUGAAGAAGGGUUUCGGCUCGUAAAACUCUGUUGUUAAAGAAGAACAUAUCUGAGAGUAACUGUUCAGGUAUUGACGGUAUUUAACCAGAAAGCCACGGCUAACUACGUGCCAGCAGCCGCGGUAAUACGUAGGUGGCAAGCGUUGUCCGGAUUUAUUGGGCGUAAAGCGAGCGCAGGCGGUUUUUUAAGUCUGAUGUGAAAGCCUUCGGCUCAACCGAAGAAGUGCAUCGGAAACUGGGAAACUUGAGUGCAGAAGAGGACAGUGGAACUCCAUGUGUAGCGGUGAAAUGCGUAGAUAUAUGGAAGAACACCAGUGGCGAAGGCGGCUGUCUGGUCUGUAACUGACGCUGAGGCUCGAAAGUAUGGGUAGCAAACAGGAUUAGAUACCCUGGUAGUCCAUACCGUAAACGAUGAAUGCUAAGUGUUGGAGGGUUUCCGCCCUUCAGUGCUGCAGCUAACGCAUUAAGCAUUCCGCCUGGGGAGUACGGCCGCAAGGCUGAAACUCAAAGGAAUUGACGGGGGCCCGCACAAGCGGUGGAGCAUGUGGUUUAAUUCGAAGCUACGCGAAGAACCUUACCAGGUCUUGACAUACUAUGCAAAUCUAAGAGAUUAGACGUUCCCUUCGGGGACAUGGAUACAGGUGGUGCAUGGUUGUCGUCAGCUCGUGUCGUGAGAUGUUGGGUUAAGUCCCGCAACGAGCGCAACCCUUAUUAUCAGUUGCCAGCAUUAAGUUGGGCACUCUGGUGAGACUGCCGGUGACAAACCGGAGGAAGGUGGGGAUGACGUCAAAUCAUCAUGCCCCUUAUGACCUGGGCUACACACGUGCUACAAUGGAUGGUACAACGAGUUGCGAACUCGCGAGAGUAAGCUAAUCUCUUAAAGCCAUUCUCAGUUCGGAUUGUAGGCUGCAACUCGCCUACAUGAAGUCGGAAUCGCUAGUAAUCGCGGAUCAGCAUGCCGCGGUGAAUACGUUCCCGGGCCUUGUACACACCGCCCGUCACACCAUGAGAGUUUGUAACACCCAAAGUCGGUGGGGUAACCUUUUAGGAACCAGCCGCCUAAGGUGGGACAGAUGAUUAGGGUGAAGUCGUAACAAGGUAGCCGUAGGAGAACCUGCGGCUGGAUCACCUCCUUUCUAAGGAA
rnacentral:rRNA from 1 species